GACGAACGCUGGCGGCGUGCUUAACACAUGCAAGUCGAACGCUGAAGCCCAGCUUGCUGGGUGGAUGAGUGGCGAACGGGUGAGUAACACGUGAGUAACCUGCCCCCUUCUUUGGGAUAACGCCCGGAAACGGGUGCUAAUACUGGAUAUUCACUGGCCUUCGCAUGGGGGUUGGUGGAAAGGUUUUUUCUGGUGGGGGAUGGGCUCGCGGCCUAUCAGCUUGUUGGUGGGGUGAUGGCCUACCAAGGCUUUGACGGGUAGCCGGCCUGAGAGGGUGACCGGUCACAUUGGGACUGAGAUACGGCCCAGACUCCUACGGGAGGCAGCAGUGGGGAAUAUUGCACAAUGGGCGAAAGCCUGAUGCAGCGACGCCGCGUGAAGGAUGACGGCCUUCGGGUUGUAAACCUCUUUCGCUCAUGGUCAAGCCGCAACUGUGGUUGUGGUGAGGGUAGUGGGUAAAGAAGCGCCGGCUAACUACGUGCCAGCAGCCGCGGUAAUACGUAGGGCGCGAGCGUUGUCCGGAAUUAUUGGGCGUAAAGGGCUUGUAGGCGGUUGGUCGCGUCUGCCGUGAAAUCCUCUGGCUUAACUGGGGGCGUGCGGUGGGUACGGGCUGACUUGAGUGCGGUAGGGGAGACUGGAACUCCUGGUGUAGCGGUGGAAUGCGCAGAUAUCAGGAAGAACACCGGUGGCGAAGGCGGGUCUCUGGGCCGUUACUGACGCUGAGGAGCGAAAGCGUGGGGAGCGAACAGG
rnacentral:rRNA from 1 species